AUUCAGCAGCAGACUCCACUAAGUUGGUAGACAAUCUUCCUGCUCACUCCUACGAGAACUGCGAGAGCUUGGAAGCUGACCAGACUCGCAAUCAGGAGGGACAGCAAUCGACCUCUCAAGAUGGAAGAGGAGGUAUGCUUGUUGCAGCUAUGAAUGGAGCCAAAUUUUUUGACCGCCACUUUGAGUACACUCAGGAUUCCAAAUGAUACUAGGAUCCAGGCUCUGGAGAGCAGGCUAUCAGAAGGUCAAGUGUUUCUUGAGUUUGAAAGAAUUC